CCCUCCCCUGUUGCAAAUUCUCAUGGUUUGGGUUGGGUGGUGGAGAGCGCGUGUCAUCUGCGGGUGGCACUGCCCACGGUGGGCGGGCGGGCCCCUCUACUCGAAGGUGACCACGUUUAGAUUCUGAGACGGGAAGUGGAGGGUGAAUAGGUCACGGCGGCCUUUUUUUUUUAGUUUAACUUUUCCUUUUUUGCCGUCUGGUCAUCCUCGUCGGUCUUCUGCUUCUGGGUAUCGACAUCGUUAUCCUCAUCAUCUUCAGCUGCCCGCUUGCCCGUAGCUGACUCAGCUCCCUCAUCUUCAUCUCCAUCCUCUUCCUCACCAUCACCUUCUUCCUCCCCACCUUCUUCCUCUUCUUCAUCUACCUCGUUGUCAGCCUCCGGCUCCCCAUUUUCCUCAUUAGCAUUCCCGUGAGCAGGGGCGUCUCUUCCAUUUUCCGCCUCUUCCACAACUUCCUUCUUCUCCUUUAAGUCCUCGGUGGUGAUUUCGGAGCUGGUGUCUACGGCUGCGUCUGACAUGGUGGGGCACGCCGGUGACGCGAUGCAGGGGAUAAAAAAGAAAGCGACAGUUCAGGGACUCUGGCGAUAAAGCUGCCGGAGUCCGCGGCGGCGGAGGCGGCUGCGGCGAGCAAGGAGGCUGACGACGCACAAUGCAAAGACGGCUUUUCAGAGCAGCCAGUGGGGCAGGACAAUGUUUUUCAUCAAAUGUCCUUAGAUUUGGAGGAGGUUUCCCCAGUGUAUCCAGUGGUUGUCUUCCUCUUGAUUAAUAUUAAAGGAGGAGAAAAAGUGUGUAUUGGGGUCAGUGCAGAAAACAAAUCAUCCAAGCACACGAAGUGGAAUUUGCUAAUAGCAUUACUACUCACCCAGUGACUUCGGAGUCACAACCCAGGACACGGUUUUCCGCCCAUUUCUACAGACACAGUGAGAUUCUUCAUUCUUCUCUGUUGGAACAGCCAGGAAAGCGGAAGAGACCUCCAGCUGCACAACGACCUGUCCCCCACACCCAACCACAAGUUUAUGAAGGGAUGCAGAACAGCAUGAAUACUGCAAAAGAUGCUCUGUGCAUCAGAAUUAGGAUAUAUCAUAUGCAGUUCUGAUUUCCUGGGUUACCUAGGAGACCUGGUAAUGAAUGGUGACUAUCUUCUAUUCUCAUUCACUUCCAGAGAAGUGUCCUUACCCGAAUGCAGGUGGACAAGCAGUUAAACACAGUGGCUUUGAGUGUGAAGGCUUCUCCUCGCACCACAGAAUAAGGAAGGGUGAGUUCUAGGAAGAAAGGCUGGAAGGCUUGAAGAGACACGAUAGGAGAGAGGCCAAACCCUGUGGUUCCAGACAAGCAGAAUGCGCUGGCCUUCCACUCUGUGAUGGUUUCAGGGACCUGGUCACCAGCUCACUUAUACCUAAUGAGCUAGUGAAGGAGCAGAGAAGAGGAGUAUAAGCAAAUCUUUUUUUUUUUUUUUUAACACAAAGCAUGGCUGAUCCUAGAACAUGAUAACUCAGUAACCUAGUGUGGUAAAUGCUAAACUUGAUCUAAGGGUUGGUGCUCCUGGUGAGGUUUAAAGUUUUUUUUCUCCCUACCUCCCUUACUCCCUCCUUCCCUCCCUCCCUUUAUUUCUUCCUCUUUUCUUUCAUUCUUUCCUUCCUUUUGUUCUUUCUUUCAAUCUCCCUCCCCUCCCCUUCCCUUUCCUUUAUUUAAGAGGGCUGGUAGCAUCCUACUUUCUAUUAUCUUAGUUAUCAAUAGACUAAAUUAGAAAAAAAAUUAGCAUUGUUUAAUUAUGAGAUAAAUGAACUAUAAACCUAAAUAUUUACCAGAAAAGAGCAGAGCAGAACUAAAAGGAUCAGGAAUCCAGGAUAACAUCAGUCAUACAGCAGGAUUCAAACCCUCUCCUAAACUAAAUUCCAGGCAACACACAACUUACUCAACUACCACCAAAUCCCAGAUCCAGGUCUCAGGGAAGUACUUCCGGACUAUCUCUUUCACUUGCAAUAUCUGAGGUUCUUCUUCGAUCAUUGGGUACAUUAUUUCUACGGCUCCUGGGGGUACACCUCGCAGACCUGGUCCUGGAAGACAACACACAGGCCUCAGUGUGAACCUCAUUUUUAUCAUCAAUUUCUUAUUGCUGCCUUAUUUCUCAAAUGGAAUAAGGUCAUACGCUCAGGGAAUGUUUAUUAUUGGAACAAUUUAACCUACCAGCUUGUUAUUUUGUUCACUUUCCUAUAAAAAGGCUAAUCCUAUUUUUUCUUCAAAUAGAAUCUAGAGCUAAAUAUAUUUUUCUUUAUAAAUAAAAACAAAUGACCUGUACAUGUACCUCCUGAAUCUAAAAUAAAA
rnacentral:lncRNA from 10 species